GGAGCUGAGAGGAGGGGGAGGCCAAGCGAAGGAGCAAGAGGAUAACUCUUUUAGCAAAGCAGAUUCAUUGACAAUGCUGAAGUCAUUUAAAGCCACAGCACCUUGUUCCUCUGGAGGAUUUACCAAUGGCUUGGAGUAAGCAAAGCAGGGGCACCUAGCUGAAGUCUCUCUUCUGGACUUUUUUUUUUUUUUUUUUUUUUUUGGUGCCAGGGAUCGAAUUCGGGUCCUUGCGCUUGCUGUGGAAUCACUGAGCUAAAUCUCCGGCCCCUGGACUUCCUUUUUCUCAACUCUCUCCCCCUUGAUUCUUGCUUCUAAACUCUCUCAAGUUCUCUCCUCUCUCCUUCCUCCCAAAUCUCCAAUUCAGCCAACAGACAUUUAUUGAGCACCAAGGAUAUCUCUGGAACUGUAUUAGGCACCAAGGAUAUAGCACAGUUUUAGAACCCAAGCUUGUCUUCUACUCAUGGUUCUCACACCACAGUACCACUCCUCUGCUGCCCACCAAUCAGAAAAACAUGACUACGUCUCCACAGGCAUGCAGACCUCUGAGGGCAGCUAUUGACCUUGUGUUGACAGCAGUGACACAGAGCUUUAGGAGAGUCACUUUGAACCUCAAGUUUUUCACCUUGAAAAUUCUUCCUUUGCCUGAAGAUCUAGCAAGAUAUGACAGUGUAAAGAUGAUUUAAAAUAAAGAUACAGG
rnacentral:lncRNA from 1 species